ACAAACAAGCAACAAGCAUGAGGGAGCUCCACCUCUAACCUCCACGCACAUCUAGACUCAAAGCAUAACAAUCACUCGCCCUAGUCUAGACAACACACACACAAACACUACUUAGCAUGAGGGAGCUUAACCUCAAACCUCGAUGCACCUAAGUCUAGACUAAGACUAAUAACUAAGCGAGUGACAACUAAACAAACAAACAAUCAAUCACACAACAUGUAUGCAGCAGCACACACUUUCCCCGGGGCCCUGCAGAAAAUCGAUUAACUAUGCCCCGAGUCUCCGUUUAAGACCCGUUGGUCAAGCUUGAACCUGCAUACAAAACACACACACAAGAAACACACAGGAAACCCACCUUGGCUACUGGCUACAAAGACUAUCCAGCACCCCUAGCUAUCUCCCCAAAAACGCUAACUAAAAACUACCCGAAAACACUCUUUUUCUCGGUUUCUCUCUC
rnacentral:lncRNA from 1 species